GCGCCUGUAGCUCAGCUGGAUAGAGCACCAGUCUUCGGAACUGGGUGUCGGGGGUUCGAAUCCUCCCAGGCGCG
rnacentral:tRNA from 1 species